AGUCCCAUAGCUCAGUGGAAGAGCGUUCCGUUCACACCGGAAAGGUCGCUGGUUCGAACCCAGUUGGGACUACUA
rnacentral:tRNA from 6 species